GUCCCUCCCAAGGGGGCAUCUGGCAUGGGUGUCCGCCUGGCUGCCUGUCUUCCGGCCCCCACCUCGUGGUGUGGGAGCUGCUGCCUUGGCCGGCCCACUUGGGAACUCCUUCCCCAGGCGUCUGAAGCUGGCCCAGUUUGACUACGGGAGGAAGUGCUUAGAGGUCGCUCGGCUGACAGAGGGCAUGUCAUGCCGGAAGAUCGCUCAGCUGGCCGUGUCCUGGCAGGCCACGGCGUAUGGCUCCAAGGACGGGGUCCUGACCGAGGCCAUGAUGGACGCCUGCGUGCAAGACUUUGUCCAGCAGCACCAGCAGAUGAUGCGCUGGCUGAAGGGGGAGAGGCCUGGGCCCGAGGACGAGCAACCCUCAUCCUGAGUCCAUGGGGAGACCACACCUCACGGAGCCUGGCCGCGGACCCCUCCCACCCCUGCCUUUGCGGCCCCGCACAUUUAGGAAAUACUCCCCAUAAUAGAGUCCCACAGGGGCCGCACCGCUGUGUCUAUUGGCU
rnacentral:sRNA from 1 species